rnacentral:rRNA from 1 species
AUUGAACGCUGGCGGCAGGCCUAACACAUGCAAGUCGAGCGAGCGGCGGACGGGUGAGUAAUGUCUGGGAACCUGCCUGAUGUAGGGGGAUAACUGCUGGAAACGGUAGAUAAUACCGCAUACCAUCCGAUUUCCCCAGAUGGGGUUAGCUAGUAGGUGGGGUAACGGCUCACGUAGGCGACGACCCCUAGCUGGUCUGAGAGGUUGACCAGCCACACUGGAACUGAGAAACGGGCCAGACUCCUACGGAAGGCAGCAGUGGGAAAUAUUGCACAAUGGGCGCAAGCCUAAUGCAGCCAUGCCGCGGGUGUGAAGAAGGCUUUCGGGUUGUAAAGCACGUUCAGCGGGGAGGCGUUACCCGCAGAAGAAGCACCGGCUAACUCCGUGCCAGCAGCCGCGGUAAUAC